AUUGCUGGGGUUGUACCAAACCUGGUCAUAUUUUUGUGUGAACUUUGUAGCAGUCUGCGAUUGUAGACUGUGCUCUGUAAUUACACCAAGAAGAUUUUUAACAACUGAAUUCAAAUCAAUAUUUCCUUGCUGUCACAUAACUCUUUUGUAGGAGAAUCUUGUAAAAGAGCACUCUGGCAGUGUGAUUCCUGACAGUGAAAAGAAACACAAGACAUGUGUUAUAAAGACUCCUCCAAUGGAUAAAAUGCAGAGUGGAAGAAGCACAAACCUGCCUGCAGGGCAGAGCAGCAGGAAAAAGCAGAAAGUGCUUGUGCAGCUGGACACUGAGUCAGACAGCUCUGAGCACACUGACCUCCUGAGCAUAGUCUCGGAAGAAGAAAUGUUUAAAAAUUUGUACAAAGAUUAUCCACAAGCUUCACAGUUACAUUCCACAGCACCAAAAAAGAGCCCAGCUCCAUGCAGUGUGAAAUCUCCAGGCUCUGCUCUGAAACUCAAAACCAUGAGGAGGAUGCGCGAGGCGGGCUGGACUGUGCUCUCCAAAAUGGACAGGAAAAGGAAAAUUAAAGAUGCUGUAAAGAUGCUGUAAAGAUGCUCUUUGCUUAAAAUCCAGAAAUGCCCAGUGCCCUGGCAUUGCUUGCAGGGCUGUUUUUCUCUCAGAGUUGGUGCUUUGUUGCAUUUUUCUGUCAUACUCAGUGUGUUUAAUACUGUGUUCAUUCCUUUACACAUAUAAACUUUAUAGAUCUAUAACUGCAACCCCUGCAGAGCAUCUUCCACCUUUCCUCCCUUGUGCUUCAAAAUGUUGGGACACAAAUUAGCCAAUUUUAAAUUUGGAAAUAAAUAGAACUACACAGAAAGUUGUUUCAAAGCUGCUUCUGGCUUAGAAAUUAGAAAUUCUGGUUUCAAAGAACUUCUGUUCUUUUACA